UGCCCUCAGGUGUAGCCUGGCUACUUGGUGCUGCUUUGAGCGUAUCUGUGAUUCUUAGUGCCUGAGCCCGGCAAAAUGAGAUCACUCCUCCUCUUUCUCAACUCUGCCUCCUGCCUAAGGAUCCUGCUGCUCUUUCUUGUGUAUUAUGCUGUGAUCAGGCUUGCCAGAUCUGAGGCUUCUCCGAGGAAGAGGAGGCUCAGAAAGACAAAAAAGAAAGCGAAAGCUUUUGGACGCUGUGCGGAAGAGUUGGAGGAGGCUGGUGCAUCCCCAGAGACGUGGUAAGCAAUGCCCCCCUCCAUAAAUUUGCAGUGGGUCAGUCCCCUCCUUUAGCGUCAUGCAAUUCAUCCCCACCCAGGGGCAGUAGCCCAAGUAAUCCCUCCCCUGCCCCGACCUAUGUACCACACAGGCAACUCUUCUCCUUUAGACUCCUGCAAUUCAUUCCCACCUUGCAGAAGUUGCCAUCUCUAAUCCACCCCCACGCCUUGUACAAUAGGUCAUUCCCUUCUUCCAGCAUCAUACGGCUCCUUUAACCUGGGGCAGUGAGGGGGAGGGGUAGAUUGUGUCAACUGGACUGGACCAUCCUCUCCUGCCAAGAGCGGGAGAAAAUGUUUUCUGGGAGCAGCCACGUGCACCCCAGGGAGGUGAGGUGCAGAGGUCAGGAGGAAGGCUGGCCUUUCUGGUACGGUGAGUAGGGGACCCAGGAGCACUUGGGUAAUGGCCCCUCCUCCAGUCCCCCAGCAUAGGUUCCACGUAGGAUUUGAAUCCUGGAGCUAAAGAAGUAGCUGCAUAGUUGGGUAGCUAGAGUAGGCUGUUAUCCUACAUGUUGAUUAGCUUCUGUGGGAGGGACAUGACACACAUGCAGCCAGCAGGAUAGACACUCACCUCCUCAGCACUAGACAGGGAUCACCUAACAAUCCAGCUAACCCCAACCCAGAACAUCCAAGGCCCGGGUAUUGCAGGGGAGGAGGCUGCCUCAGUGGAGAAGGGGACAGGGAGCCUUUCGGUGCCGCACCUCUGGGUAAAAGAGGGCCUGAGGGCAGGGCCUGCACUCAGCUAUCUGCUCUCUCUGUUCCACAGCUGCCCUCUGCCCCUGGAGAAGCUCCCCUUGGCUCAGAGCCUCAGGCUGGUUGAGAGGAGGCUACAGUACGUGGGCAGACACCUGGAUGCAGUUCUGAUACCGCCGAGUGUGGCGACAGCCGCGAUGAGCCAGUUCUCCUAUUCCGCUAUGGAAUCCACCACCUCUGCCCUCUGGAGUCCCAGCUCCUUUUCUCUGAGAGAAGACGCCAUCAUUCAGUCGGAGCCCCUCUGCCACACAGGGGAGAUCAUGCCCUUCGCGAGCUGGGAAGGAUCCACUCAUCCCAUCCAAGCCCAGCCUCUCUCCAGGCCUCCUGCCCACAGCAGAAAAGACCGGGGAGAGCAGACCACGGGUCUGGACCAGACUUCAGUCCAUAGCUCAGACUUCAACAUCCGGCAGAAGCAUCUGCAGAGGCGACUGGGGGCUCCACAAACCCCCAUCCCGGGGGAGCAAUUGCUGGGUGAGGGGGACACCAAGCAGCAAUUGGAAGUAAACCCAGAUCCGUCCAAAUGUGGAUUUCCAGCAAAGGUCCCGGAGCCCUUCAGAUCCAACACCAGCCCUCAGCGUGCACAGGAGAUCCAGGAGCCAUGUGUCUGCCCCCGGGGACCCCUGCCCCAAAAGGCCCACAGGAUCAUGGCAUCUUCUGAUGCCAUCCUGGCCACGCUUGUGCCCACAGUGGUGGUCAAGCUGCAGGAUCACAUGGCUCAGAAAUGCUGGCAGAUCCAAACCAAGGCCUUUCCUAAGAUGGUGCGAGAGUCACACAGAGAUGCUCCCCUCCGGAGAGAGACUGCCCUGCCUGGGCCACUCCACCCCCCUAGGGAGCCAGGCAGGCACAGGACAGCGGCAUUCCCAACGAUGGGACAACAGCCUGCCCACCCCAUCGAACUCCUCAUAAGGCAUCAGCAUCCAGUCAUGCAGAGGGGGCUGCUCACCCUGGACCCAGAGCCCCUGGCAAAGCUGCCUCACGCCGUCCCAGCCAGGGGAGCCCGUGUGGAGUUCAGUGAGAUGGAGACUGAUUUCCUGCAGACGGGGAGGCGAAGCACAAGCUCCUCUUCUUCCACACGUCCUCCAACGCCAGUGGAAGAUAUCACCAUGGAGACGGGCAGGAAUGAUGGCGCGGCAGGAAAGCAGACUAACCCACAGCGCUGCACUCUGCCAGCAGGGGUGGGUCUGACAUCGCCACCUCCAGGAACCACAGUAGCAGAGAAGACACUCGCAGCGACACUCCAAAUGUAUAGGAGCGAGUUGAGAAAGCCCCUUACCAGUGUGAGCGGCAGCAAAGGGGCUGAAGAGAAGCUGGAGCUGCACAUGGAGAGGAAGGUUCUCUUGGGAGAAGGCUCCUGCCUGCAGCCAGGGGCACAAGCAGGUGAGAGCAGGGCAGAUCCUCCCAGGACCCAAUGGCACCAGGUUGCCCCAGAGGCACCAGGCUCUGAGCAGCUAACAAGAUCCACCCUUGACUCUCUCCUUGCUGGGCAGGCUGCACACGACCUGCAGAUCAAGCAGCUGACGGAAAUGUUGAGCAGCUCCCGCCCCUUGGCGGGCCAGGUCUCAGUUUGCCAGCAGUGCCGCAAGGCAUAUCCAGGAAAGAGGAAGGGUGAGAAAACUCCAAAGGAGACAUCUGCUGAGCUGCAUAGUGUUCGAGACAUCGUGCAUUCACAUGGGUUCAAUGGAACUGUGAAUUCAAAGCUCUCCAGGGACCAGCCACCAAUCAGAGUCUGCGAGAAGGGUGGUAAGCAUCGACAAAAGAGACCAGCUGGCUCUGCAGGUGCUGACGUGCCGGGAAGAUCCCAUGGAAUUCCACAGCGAUGGACUCCAGGAGACUCCUCAGCAUCAUCCAACCACAAUAAGAUGCCAGUGCUGUGGCUCCUUCCAGCAGACAAGAGCAAGACGCAGGAUGGAAUGGGGAAAAGGGCUCCCCGCAAGCAACCAAAGAUGGUGUCCGUUGCAACGAGUACAACAGGGCUUUCGCAAGCUGGGGAGAAAGCAAGUUGGAGUCCUGACGGUUCUCCCUCAAAGUCACCAAAGGCCUCCAGAGCUAGGACACCAUCCCCUUCAAGGAGCAAAGUUCUCCAAAAGAUGUUCAUGUGCCUGAAGCAAACCUUCAGCAAGCUGCAACACAAAGUGAAGUCCCGAAUGUCCAAGGACCCUCGAUCCAGAACACCUGACACUAAAUUUACAAAGCCACCCUUUUGGAAGGCAAGGGCCUCCAAGGGUGUACGGUUUCCAUACUACUGAAUCUCACACUGCCAGCAUGCCCAAUACCAGAAAAGGCCCACAAAUUCCCACCUCUCCCUAUCAUCCAGUGGGCCCGGUAAGCAUGGGCUAAAGUGGCUGAGAAGAAUGGCUUGUUGUCCUGGGACACAGAGACUGAUAUAUAAGUGUCUCUCCUUGGGGUAUGACAUUUAACCCAAGAUUCCAAGAUGAAGGGGGGCCUGGGAGCUUGGAUGAGAUUGAGCAUUCAAGAAUCAAUCCUUCCUUCAAGAAGAGCUGACACUAAAUUUACAAAGCCACCCUUUUGGAAGGCAAGGGCCUCAAAGUCUGUCCAGUAGUACUAUUAGGGCCCUAUCAUCAAUCAAACACAAACCGGCCCUUUGACUCCUAAAACCCCGCUCCUUGACCCCUUAAACCCCGCCCACCUAUCACCAGAAGUCCCACCCACAGGGUAUUACUUCCAGGGUCAAGGAGGACACAUGACCGGAAGCCAAGGGUGUCAUGUGACCCCUCUAAGAACUCCUCCCACUGCCCUCUACCAAUCAGGAGAGGUUUCGCCCUCAUAGGCCUACCUGGAGAGGGGAUUUGACCAAUCAGGGGUGUUCCAGGGUGGGGUAACCCAUCCGGAUGUGGCUCGUGUGACCCCUCUAAGAACUCCUCCCACUGCACUCUACCAAUCGCGAUGGGUUUCGGCCGCAUAGGACCAACCUGAGAGCAGAUUUGACCAAUCGGUGGUGUUCCGGGACGGGGUGACCUGUCCAGAUGAGGGUCGUGUGACCCUUCUAAGAACUCCUCCCAGCGCCCUCUGCCAGUCAAAGCGCAACACUAUCACCCCAUAAGUCCCAGCACCAGGGCAGAAGAGGCCAUUUUUUACCAAGGACGCGUGCUUUAGAAAUCGUAGAAGCAUGGACUCCUUCACCACCCUGUGAGUACUUUGGACUUUGUGUUAGCCCCGAGGGCCUUUGGACUUGUGUGGAGAAAGCGCUACAUGAGCGACAGUUCCCACAAGGGACCUUUGACUCAGCCAUUGAUGGAUACGCUGGAACCCGAAACCCAAACUCUCGUGAGGCACACCGAUGAGUGUGAUGGCCUCUCAUUUUCCACCCCCCUAGAGGUGGAAGGUGAACGCAGCUCAGGGGAGUCAUCGGAGGACAAGGUGAAUGGAAAAGACAUUGCUCAGAUUGACGAUGCCUUUCUAGAGGACCCAGAGGCCUUGGACAGCAUUGCAUCAAGCAGCGAAGAUGAACCGGGCUCUCCUUGUUUUUGCUCAAUGCCAGUACAAAUUGUUGAAGAGGACUCCAAGGAUGACGGCUAUGAGGAGUUUAGGAGGCUUGGCAUGGAAAUAACUGAGCCAAGGCCACGUCGUGAGCGUAAAAAAGUCAUGCGGACUAUUGUACGUGUUGCUGUUUAUGCUGUCCUUAAUCAGUGCCUUAGGGAAAAGCUUUUUGAAGAUUGUGAGGGCUGUGUCAUAGAUGCGCCAGCCCAACGGCACCAUGACUGUGUGACUUGGACUUCAGUAGAUCUAAACUUCAAGCUCCGGCGCCUGUGUGCUGAGUUGUGUUUGGAAAGGUUAUUAAACGUUGUUCUUGCCAUAGGUUAUGCUGCGCAAUGUCUGUGCCUAACCCAAGAACAUUUAGCGUAAGGGGUGACCUUGAUAAAUGCUGUGCAAUUUAGUGCAGACCCCGGCCGUGUUUUAAAGAAAAUGACCAAACCGGAAGAUGCCUGUGUCCCAUUCUUAACUUGAACUGGGACCGUAUAGAAUAUGAUUGCAACCAAGGUCCUGUAGUAGCACUAAAUCUUUUGUAAAGGGGAUCAUAUAAGGGGUCUAAGACCAGGUUAUGGGUUGCUGGUUAUGAUUAUGCUGUCUGUAUCAAUGUGUCAUUUUGUAGUUGAAGUUAUGAAUAUUGGCUCUAUCCUGUCUGUAUCUCAAACUUAU